AUAACGCCCCCUCGCACUCACCUGGUCCACGCAUUCUGUGGGGCGGCGGGCCAGUUUUCCCCCAAAUCCACCACCGUCGCUCUCGGGAAUCGCCGGAAUAGUGGAAGGCGAAGGGAGAAGGGGAGAAGGGGGGAGGGGAGAAAGAGAGCGACCCCCUGCGACUGCCAAAAUGAUGACGGGAUGAGGGCCGGCUCGCCAUACGCGCGCGGCAACCAGCAAGCGGAGGAGGGAGGAGACAGGUGUCGGAGUCCCGGUGACCAGCAAGCGAAGAGCCGAGGGGACAGCGUCGUCUGUGCGCCGCGACCACCUAGCGGGGAGGAGCUAGAUCGGGGAAGGUGCCGUCGCCAGGUGGUCGAGGAAUCGGGCAGCAAAGUGCCGAAAAAAAGGUGGAGCUGGAGAGGCCGUUGGGGAGGAGGAAACUUACAUUCUAAUGCAGGAGGCGCCGGGAGGGAGGUGCUGAGCGGUUAUGAUCGGGGGUAGGAUCCUGCGCCAUGUGCGAUGGUGGUUAGGACCCUUUCUUUCCUUUUUUGUAUGACAGCUGGCAAAGGGUGCGGGACACCACUGCCAUAUUUAGGUGUGUGCUCUGGAACGCUACCCAGCCAACGUGUGCUGGCUAGUCGCGUCCAAAUAAAAGCGCGCGCAUCUCUCCACGGAACCCGGGCCCCACACAGUUGGGCCUUUUCCUUGCUUUAAUUUUUUUCAACAGAGACGUUUUCCCUGCUGCCACGUUUCACUUUUAUCUCCCAUGAUACAUUAGAAUCACCAGGCCACAUGACGUGUCAA